UAGGGAAUCUUCGGCAAUGGACGAAAGUCUGACCGAGCAACGCCGCGUGAGUGAAGAAGGUUUUCGGAUCGUAAAACUCUGUUGUUAGAGAAGAACAAGGACGUUAGUAACUGAACGUCCCCUGACGGUAUCUAACCAGAAAGCCACGGCUAACUACGUGCCAGCAGCCGCGGUAAUACGUAGGUCGCAAGCGUUGUCCGGAUUUAUUGGGCGUAAAGCGAGCGCAGGCGGUUUCUUAAGUCUGAUGUGAAAGCCCCCGGCUCAACCGGGGAGGGUCAUUGGAAACUGGGAGACUUGAGUGCAGAAGAGGAGAGUGGAAUUCCAUGUGUAGCGGUGAAAUGCGUAGAUAUAUGGAGGAACACCAGUGGCGAAGGCGGCUCUCUGGUCUGUAACUGACGCUGAGGCUCGAAAGCGUGGGGAGCAAACAGG
rnacentral:rRNA from 1 species